ACUCAGGCACGGUCCCGUUGAGCAUGCUCGGUGGGGUAUCGACCUGAAGUUCAAUCCUGAGGGA
rnacentral:ncRNA from 1 species